rnacentral:rRNA from 1 species
AUUUGAAAUCUGGCUCUUUUAGAGUCCGAGUUGUAAUUUGCAGAGGGCGCUUUGGCUUUGGCAGCGGUCCAAGUUCCUUGGAACAGGACGUCACAGAGGGUGAGAAUCCCGUACGUGGUCGCUGGCUAUUGCCGUGUAAAGCCCCUUCGACGAGUCGAGUUGUUUGGGAAUGCAGCUCUAAAUGGGAGGUACAUUUCUUCUAAAGCUAAAUAUUGGCCAGAGACCGAUAGCGCACAAGUAGAGUGAUCGAAAGAUGAAAAGCACUUUGGAAAGAGAGUCAAACAGCACGUGAAAUUGUUGAAAGGGAAGCGCUUGCAGCCAGACUUGCUUACAGUUGCUCAUCCGGGUUUUUACCCGGUGCACUCUUCUGUAGGCAGGCCAGCAUCAGUUUGGGCGGUAGGAUAAAGGUCUCUGUCACGUACCUCCUUUCGGGGAGGCCUUAUAGGGGAGACGACAUACUACCAGCCUGGACUGAG